rnacentral:lncRNA from 1 species
UCUAGAAUCAUGUUGGCUGGCUUAAAUGGUCAAGGUCUUAGUUAAUGUGCAACGGUACAAGGGGCUUUCCCAGGGCGUAAGAGAAAAAAAAAAAAAAAAAGGGGUCAUCCAGAAUGAGAAGUACCCGGUUACCCGUGAACAAGGUUUGAGACUUCGUGUCAAAUCUGGGUGUGAGGUGUGGAUCCAAUCAAAAACCAUGUGCGUGACUCCAAAUCUUGCAAUGGAAUCUAACGGUCGCAGUA